UAUAGGGGUAGUGUCUGACCCUUACUUUUUGGUUUUACAGCCCUGAGCAUCAUAGAAGCCUUUGUCUGCAGUGCUGUAAUCUUCACCAGUAGGAGAUAAAGAGCAGAAGCUGAGGAUGUCAUGAAACAACAACAGCAACGCACGCGUGGAAAUGGAGGUGGUUCAGGGAAUGCGUCGAUUGCAAAAAGAAUGAGGAAAAAAAGGAAACAAAAGAGAUGUCAUCGUGCACAAAUGCCCUCUGCUCAGUGGUUUUUGGCUGCAAGGCUUAGGGAAGGACUGCAGCAGCUUGGGAUGCACAUCCCUGGGGCUGUUGGCCGACGGGCACUUGAAUUCUCCGGCGUUUGCACAUCUCAUGCCAUACAUUUUUUUUUUGCUGGGAGCACUCAAGGCUGGGGGACGCUUCGGAGGCUGCACAAGAGGAGGCUUUUUGUUCCUGACAUCACCACGGCUGCAUCGCUGGAGGACAAUGAGCCGCUUCUUGCAGCCCGGGCUGGCAUCUUGGCUUACUGAGGUUUUGCCCUGUGGAGGAAUGUUCCCCUAAAAUACAGUGGAUGGCUGCAGCAGCGUUAAAGACUCCAAUGAAGGUGACAGCUUGAAGCCCUGGGAAAAGGGGACGCUGCCUUUGCUGCCUGUUAGUGGGAUUGAGCCCUGUGCUGCUGCGGUACGAAGCUCCGUGGCCUUGUUCACAUCAAUCCCUGGGGUGCAAAGAGGUGUCAAACGCUUCUGGCUGCUUUGCGGAGAGGAAACACUGCUUUUCCGGCAGUGAGCAGGAGGUCUGUGGGGGUUUAGUGCAGCUGUUGUGUGCUGUGAUGGCUUUCAGAUCCUAUCCUGUCCCAUGCACCGAUCGUGGCUCAGGGCUGAUGAUGCCGGAUGCUUUUUAUAUCUAUCUGCCAUUUCAGGCUGUGUUUUUGCAAUGAGGAUGGAUUUUCCCACUGAGUUGCACUGGGCUUGAGAUACUGAGUGUGGAGACUGCAGCUUCAAAAUACGCAGAAGAACACAGAGCUUUAACCUUCCACAGCAUAGAGCCUCCAUCCCAGCUCCGGAGAUGUAAUUCCCUAUCCCCACUGAGAGAAUUCAGACUUUCUUUCAUCCCCCUGAAUUUUGAGGCUGGAUCAGGGACAAUGGGAAACGUACUGUGUCCCCAACACCGUAAAGCAGCACAUCAGCCGGUGCUGCUAGUGUCACCCUGCCUGAAGUGCCCUCCGGCUGUUCCCUGCACAAAGGGCCCAUUUUCUUCCAGUUUUGCCAUUUUUGAAAGCUGCCUCUGAGACUUCGUCCCCUGGGUGUCACCAGCCCUGAGCCAGAGGAGUGGGAUCCCAUAAAUGAGGUCCAGCAGAUCUCCUGGGGGAUUUGGAUGGCCUUGCUGUGAUUCAGGAAGAACCUUAGUAAUUAUUGAUAAGCCAGCUAAUCAGUGAUCGCCCCAGUGCUGUGAUUUGCACUGUGGUUUCUGGGACCUUUCCCAGUUAUCACCAUUUCCAUGUGUUUUCCCUCUUUGGGAAAUGCUUGUUUUGCAUGGUGAGAGAAAAGGAACGGAGCAGCGUAAUCUGCAGCAGGGACAUGCCCACGAUGGAUGCACGGUGUGAAGCCAUCCUGGCCAGAGGGAUGCUCACAAAUCCUGAGUUUAAUGCCUGAAUUGUGCCCUGAGUGAGCCCCACUCAUAGCUUACAGGUAUAAGUAUCAUAGUGUUUAUAGUGGCUUUGUCGCCGGUUAGGAAGGUAUUUGAUGAGGCGAAGUAAGACAAAGACCUCCUGGGGCGAAGUCAUCCUUUGGGUAAACGCUAGCGCUGGUGAAGGGAGAAGACUACAUCUCCCAGGGUGCCCCACGGCCGUCAUGGCCGCCAGGCAGUGCGCUGCUAAAUACUACCAAUCCCAGCAUGCAACGCGGCCCAACAUGGCUGACCGGAAGUGUUCCCGGAAGACUACAUGUCCCAGCUCGAGGCUGGAGGACUACAGCUCCCAGUACGCUGUCACAUUCCGA